UGGCAGUGUAAGGGGUGUUCCGUUGCAGUAGCUAGUAGCAUCACCAUCAUUACAUGAUUCUUCAGCUGAUUGCCAGGAUGAGGAGUUUGUGGAAGAGGAAGUUUCUGUUGCACCCCUAGAUAAAUGCAGAAUUUAAGCGCAUUACCACCAUGCCCCUGCAAUCCAGAUUUCUGUCACAGCUGGAU